GGGGCCACAGCUCAGUGGCAGAGCAUCUGCUUUGUAUGCAGAAGGUCCUUGUUUCAAUCCUUGGCAUCUCCA
rnacentral:tRNA from 1 species